CACCCAUCAGUAGCCGGGUUUGGGUCUUGCAGUAUCAUGACCCCGAAAGGGACAAGCGGCUAAACCGACGAAUGAAUGAUGUCUGUACAACUGUAUUUACUUAUUAAUUUCUUUCAUUCAACCAGGUCUGAUGAACAAAAUCAGAAUAGAGCUCCAGAUGAGAAUGAUGUUGAACACAACACAUAUGGAUCUCUGCUCCAUGGUGAUGUUGAUGUUUAUGAGUCACUCAGAGUCCAUGAAGACACAGAGAAUAAUCCAGAUUACGCCAACAUAGGUACUGAAGAAGAAUGAAGAAAAACUGGACGAUCUGCUUUUCUAAUCUGAAACUUCAAAAGAGCUCCAACUCGAUUUAUUGAACCCUGAAAAACUCCUCUUAGGGUGUAUUCA